rnacentral:rRNA from 1 species
GACGAACGCUGGCGGCGUGCUUAACACAUGCAAGUCGAACGGAACGUCCCUGCUUUUGUGGGGUGCUCGAGUGGCGAACGGGUGAGUAACCCGUGAGUAACCUGCCCUUGACUUUGGGAUAACUUCAGGAAACUGGGGCUAAUACCGGCUAGGAGCUCCCGCUGCAUGGUGGGGGUUGGAUAGUUUCGGCGGUUGGGGAUGGACACGCGUCUUAUCAGCUUGUUGGUUGGGUAGUGGCUUACCAAGGCUUGGACGGGUAGCCGGCCUGAGAGGGUGACCGGCCACACAGGGACUGAGAUACAGCCCAGACUGCUACGGGCGGGAGGAGGGGGGAAUAUUGCACAAAGGGCGGAAGCAUGAUGCAGCAACGCCGCGUGCGGGAUGACGGCCUGCGUGUGGGAAACCACGUUCGCCUGUGACGAAGCGUGAGGGACGGUAAUGGGUAAAGAAACACCGGCUAACUACGU